UGGGGAAUUUUGGACAAUGGGCGAAAGCCUGAUCCAGCAAUGCCGCGUGUGUGAAGAAGGCCUUCGGGUUGUAAAGCACUUUUGUCCGGAAAGAAAUCCUUGGCUCUAAUACAGUCGGGGGAUGACGGUACCGGAAGAAUAAGCACCGGCUAACUACGUGCCAGCAGCCGCGGUAAUACGUAGGGUGCAAGCGUUAAUCGGAAUUACUGGGCGUAAAGCGUGCGCAGGCGGUUUGCUAAGACCGAUGUGAAAUCCCCGGGCUCAACCUGGGAACUGCGUUGGUGACUGGCAGGCUAGAGUAUGGCAGAGGGGGGUAGAAUUCCACGUGUAGCAGUGAAAUGCGUAGAGAUGUGGAGGAAUACCGAUGGCGAAGGCAGCCCCCUGGGCCAAUACUGACGCUCAUGCACGAAAGCGUGGGGAGCAAACAGGAUUAGAUACCCUGGUAGUCCACGCCCUAAACGAUGUCAACUAGUUGUUGGGGAUUCAUUUCCUUAGUAACGUAGCUAACGCGUGAAGUUGACCGCCUGGGGAGUACGGUCGCAAGAUUAAAACUUAAAGGAAUUGACGGGGUCAUAGCUGUUUCCU
rnacentral:rRNA from 1 species